rnacentral:rRNA from 1 species
UACGUAGGUGGCGAGCGUUAUCCGGAUUUACUGGAUGUAAAGGGCGUGUAGGCGGGUUUGCAAGUCGGGUGUGAAAGAUCCAGGCUUAACUUGGAGAGGUCAUCCGAAACUGCAGAUCUUGAGUGCUGGAGAGGAUAGUGGAAUUCCCGGUGUAGCGGUGAAAUGCGUAGAGAUCGGGAGGAACACCAGUGGCGAAGGCGGGUAACUGGACUGCGACUGACGCUGAGGCGCGAAAGUGUGGGGAGCAAACAGGAUUAGAUACCCU